AUCCUUAGGUUCAUGAGCUGACAUGAUGACAGCGUGUUCAUGCUGUGUGUACGAGAUGCCUCCUUCAAACCUUGUUCCAUCAUGGGCGCAUUGCCCAUAUGACG